rnacentral:rRNA from 1 species
GAAGUCGGAAUCGCUAGUAAUCGUGAAUCAGAAUGUCACGGUGAAUACGUUCCCGGGCCUUGUACACACCGCCCGUCACACCAUGGGAGUGGGUUGCACCAGAAGUAGCUAGUCUAACCCUCGGGAGGACGGUUACCACGGUGUGAUUCAUGACUGGGGUGAAGUCGUAACAAGGUAGCCGUAGGGGAACCUGCGGCUGGAUCACCUCCUU